GCGCACCCUCAUCCGAACUCGCGCUAAUGAGUGGGAAUUCAUGCAUCAGUUCUCCUCCGUCCCUUCUUGACGGGCGCUGGUCCGAUAAUGGUCUCGACGCUUGCCUCCUCUGUGUGUCUUGCCUUCCAGUGAGAUCGCCUCCCCCUGUUCUCCGACCCCUCCACUCCCCUGAAACCCUCUUUCGCCUGCGGGAACGACGCGCUAGGGUUUCCUUCGACGGAUUAGAGGGAUUCUUCGAUGUUGCGGCUCCCAUCUUCUUCCGCUCGAUCCGCCGGUUUCUGUGCACGGAACGAGGGUUCCACUUCAGAGAGAUCUGCUUCUUUAUUCGACUAUGCUUGAACUUUUAUUCAAGAAUUUGGCAUUAGGUGGGGUGGUUUAUUGUCGCUCUGGCAUUAUGCCGAAUAGUUGUCUUUGGUUCUACCCAGCUUUCUUGUAAGUCUUCUUGCUUGCUGGAAAGGUUUAUCAAGGAAAAAGCUAGAGAUCAUCAUGACCGCUCAGUUAAUCGGGGGAUGCGGACGUUGCUGAGCAGCAGAAGGGCCGACUGACACCACCAACCCCCGUGUACGGCACCGUUUCCCGACAUCGUCAUCCGGGUGAAGGGAGCGGUGAUCAUUAGCAGUGUAUUGGUAGGAGGUCAGCUAGGUCGAUUGCUGUACCAAGCAGCAAGUCAAACGUUAGUCAAAGUAGUGACUAUAGAUGUCCUCGAAAAUGGUCCAGCCAAUGCAAUGUCCUAUAACAUUUUGUUGGGAGUUUUGAUGAUGGCAAAUCAGUUUGUGAAUUUGGCAAAAGGUGCAGGUUGUUGACUGUAGAGAGUGAGCACUUUGAUGUUGUUACCCUUGAGAAGCUUGUGCAACAAGGGAUAGAUUGUCAAAUUAAAGUUUCUACAAUAAGGAUAAUCCAAGCGAGUUGGUAAUUUAUUUUUAUCAUGGGUCAAGGAAUUUCUUUUGUUUAAACCAGUCUAUCGGCAAUGGGGACAUUGAGUUCCAAGAGUAGGACUUCACGAUGCACAAUUUAUCUGCCAGCCUACAAAGUGCAAGGUGAGUGAAUUGGAGCAUUUUGUUCAGAGGAGAAAAUAGAUUUCCUUUGAAAGAGAGUGGUUUUUAUCUGAUAUACUGGUGAAGAAAUUUCAGGCCUGAGAUUUGUUGGUGCAUUUUGAUUGUUGAAUGACACCUCCAAAAUUUUGUUUUUCUCAUUUUAUAUCUAGAAUUCAAUUGUUAUGAGGAUGAAGAUCGAAUUUGGUCUUAUUUUGGCUCAUGAACUUAGCCACCUGUGUAAUAGAGUGAGGCUGUACAUUCCG